rnacentral:lncRNA from 1 species
AGGUACCCGAAGGCGCAAACAAAGCAGAGAUGCGGAUAGGCGCAAGCACCCAAAGGCGCAAUACAAAGACGAAGCUCGCUUCUAUAACAAAAUACAUGUCGACAUGGCCAACAUUAGCAUAGCAGAAUACCAAGAGACAUUAUAAUUUAAAAUUAUCCAGUCACUAACUUAUAGAAUAGAUUAUCAAAUUUCAAAAUUUUCUAUUAAAAGAAUCUUUCAAUCAUAGUUGAAACUCAGUUUACAGAAACAUUUAAUAUACGCUUAACCCUUAAUUUUAAAAUCUACAAAAUAAAGAUUUUCACAUAAUCAAAGUAUUUCCUAAAUUAUUUUACGAAAA